rnacentral:rRNA from 1 species
GAUGAACGCUGGCGGCGUGCCUAAUACAUGCAAGUCGAGCGAACGGACGAGAAGCUUGCUUCUCUGAUGUUAGCGGCGGACGGGUGAGUAACACGUGGAUAACCUACCUAUAAGACUGGGAUAACUUCGGGAAACCGGAGCUAAUACCGGAUAAUAUUUUGAACCGCAUGGUUCAAAAGUGAAAGACGGUCUUGCUGUCACUUAUAGAUGGAUCCGCGCUGCAUUAGCUAGUUGGUAAGGUAACGGCUUACCAAGGCAACGAUGCAUAGCCGACCUGAGAGGGUGAUCGGCCACACUGGAGCUGAGCCACGGUCCAGACUCCUACGGGAGGCAGCAGUAGGGAAUCUUCCGCAAUGGGCGAAAGCCUGACGGAGCAACGCCGCGUGAGUGGUGAAGGUCUUCGGAUCGUAAAACUCUGUUAUUAGGGAAGAACAUAUGUGUAAGUAACUGUGCACAUCUUGACGGUACCUAAUCAGAAAGCCACGGCUAACUACGUG